rfam:Camelus ferus unplaced genomic scaffold scaffold653, whole genome shotgun sequence.
GAGGGUAUCACUCAGGUGGUAGAGUUCAUGUUUAGCAUGCAUGAGUCCUGGGUUCAAUCCCCAGUGCCUCCU